CUGGCGGCGUGCCUAACACAUGCAAGUCGAACGGACGAUGGAGAGCUUGCUCUCCAAAGGUUAGUGGCGAACGGGUGAGUAACGCGUGAGCAACCUGCCUUUCAGAGGGGGACAACAGUUGGAAACGACUGCUAAUACCGCAUAACAUGAUCUGGCCGCAUGACCGGAUCAUCAAAGGCUUGCUGCCCUGAGAUGAGCUUGCGUCCGAUUAGGUAGUUGGCGGGGUAAGAGCCCACCAAGCCGACGAUCAGUAGCCGGCCUGAGAGGGUGAACGGCCACAUUGGGACUGAGACACGGCCCAAACUCCUACGGGAGGCAGCAGUGGGGAAUAUUGCACAAUGGGGGAAACCCUGAUGCAGCGACGCCGCGUGAGUGAAGAAGUAUUUCGGUAUGUAAAGCUCUAUCAGCAGGGAAGAAAAUGACGGUACCUGACUAAGAAGCCCCGGCUAACUACGUG
rnacentral:rRNA from 1 species